GGUUGUGGCUCAGUGGCAGAGCUCUUGCCUCGCACAUGUGAGGCACUGGGUUCGAUCCUCAGCAUCA
rnacentral:tRNA from 1 species